GCAAGAUACCACGGGCGCACGGCGGAUGCCUUGGCACAGGGAGCCGAUGAAGGACGCGGCAAGCUGCGAUAAUCCCCGGCGAGGAGCACACAUCCUUCGACCCGGGGGUCUCCGAAUGGGCGAACCCAUGCACAGCAGUGUGCAUAUCCCCGGCCUGAACACAUAGGGCCGGGGAGGACAACCCGGGGAACUGAAACAUCUAAGUACCCGGAGGAGAGGAAAUCAAUCUCGAGACUCCCCGAGUAGCGGCGAGCGAAAGGGGACCGAUGGCCAAACCGUCGAGCGGGCAUACCCGGCAGGGGUUCCGCCGACGGGGUUGCAGGGCCGCGCAUCCGGGGGCUGCCGCCCCCGGGCGCAGGUCCGGCUGGGGAGCGGAACGGCAUGGGAGGGCCGGCCGCAGCGGGUGACAGCCCCGUACGCGAACCCAGACCGGACGGCGCGACGCGGUCCCUGAGUAGGGCCGGGCACGUGAAACCCGGUCCGAACCUGGGUGGACCACCAUCCAAGCCUGAGUACUACCCUGUGACCGAUAGCGCACCAGUACCGUGAGGGAAAGGUGAAAAGCACCCCGGGAGGGGAGUGAAACAGUACCUGAAACCGUGCGCCCACGAGCAGUCGGAGCACCUUUAUGGUGUGACGGCGUGCCUUUUGUAGAAUGAGCCAGCGAGUCGCUGGCGCGGGGCGAGGUUAACCGAAAGGGAGCCGGAGCGAAAGCGAGCCUUAACAGGGCGACUUGAGUCCCGCGCCGCGGACGCGAAGCCGGGUGAGCUAUCCGUGGGCAGGCUGAAGCGGGGGUAAGACCCCGUGGAGGGCCGAACGCACGUCGGUUGAAAACGGCGGCGAUGACCUGCGGAUAGGGGUGAAAGGCCAAUCAAACCCGGAGAUAUCUCGUUCUCCCCGAAAUAGCUUUAGGGCUAGCGUCGCGCGUUCACCGCCGGAGGUAGAGCACCGGAUGGACGAGGGGGCUUCGCCGCCUACCGAAUCCAACCGAACUCCGAAUGCCGGCGGCCCAGAGCGCGGCAGUCAGAGCAUGUGGGCUAAGCUGUGUGCUCGAGAGGGAAACAGCCCGGACCGCCCGCUAAGGUCCCCAAGUUCCAGCCGAGUGGCAAAGGAUGUGCGUCCGCCCAGACAACCAGGAUGUUGGCUUAGAAGCAGCCAUCCAUUCAAAGAGUGCGUAACAGCUCACUGGUCGAGUGGACAUGCGCCGACAAUACACGGGGCUAAGCUGGACACCGAAGCGGCGGGAUUUUGAUUUUCAGAAUCGGUAGGGGAGCUUCCCAUGGGCGGAGAAGCCGGAGGGCGACCGACGGUGGAGCGCAUGGGAGUGAGAAUGCUGGCAUGAGUAGCGAGAGACGAGAGAGUAACUCGUCCGCCGUGAACCCGAGGUUUCCUGGGCAAGGCUAAUCCUCCCAGGGUCAGUCGGGGGCUAAGGCGAGGCCGGGAGGCGUAGCCGACGCGCAGCAGGCAGACAUUCCUGCACCGCGCACGCGGCGCUACGACCGACGGGGCGACGGAUGGGGGUGGCUCGGCGGGGUUCUGGACGUCCCCGUGAUGGAGCGCGGCCCGCGGACCAGGGAAAUCCGGUCCGCAGAAGGGCGAGGCUCCGGACGAAGCGAUUGAGCGAAGCGAGUGAGCCCGAGGUCCCUAGAAAAACCCCUAGGCAGGCGCGUGCGCGCCCGUACCGCAAACCGACACAGGUGGGUGGGUAGAACAUACCGAGGCGAUCGGGUCAACCAUGGUCAAGGAACUCGGCACAAUGGCCCCGUAACUUCGGGAGAAGGGGUGCCCGCGCGUACGUGAACCGGCUCGCCCGGGGAGCGGAGGCGGGCCGCAGUGGAGAGGCCCAAGCGACUGUUUACCAAAAACACAGGACUCUGCAGAAGCCGCAAGGCGACGUAUAGGGUCUGACGCCUGCCCGGUGCCGGAAGGUCACGCGGAGGAGUUAGCCGCAAGGCGAAGCCCCGAAGCCAAGCCCCGGUAAACGGCGGCCGUAACUAUAACGGUCCUAAGGUAGCGAAAUUCCUUGUCGGGUAAGUUCCGACCUGCACGAAUGGCAUAACGAUGGCCACACUGUCUCCUCCUGAGACUCAGUGAAGUUGAAGUGUUUGUGAUGAUGCAAUCUCCCCGCGGCUAGACGGAAAGACCCCAUGAACCUUUACUGUAGCUUUGCAUUGGACUUUGAACCGAUCUGUGUAGGAUAGGCGGGAGCCUGUGAAACCACAACGCCAGUUGUGGCGGAGGCGUCCUUGAAAUACCGCCCUGAUUUGUUUGAGGUUCUAACCUGGGACAGUCAUCCUGUCCGGGGACCGUGCAUGGUAGGCAGUUUGACUGGGGCGGUCUCCUCCUAAAGGGUAACGGAGGAGUGCGAAGGUACGCUAGGUACGGUCGGAAAUCGUGCUGAUAGUGCAAUGGCAAAAGCGUGCUUGACUGCGAGACCCACAAGUCGAGCAGAUACGAAAGUAGGUCAUAGUGAUCCGGUGGCUCUGUAUGGAAGGGCCAUCGCUCAACGGAUAAAAGGUACUCCGGGGAUAACAGGCUGAUACCGCCCAAGAGUUCAUAUCGACGGCGGUGUUUGGCACCUCGAUGUCGGCUCAUCACAUCCUGGGGCUGAAGUAGGUCCCAAGGGUAUGGCUGUUCGCCAUUUAAAGUGGUACGCGAGCUGGGUUUAGAACGUCGUGAGACAGUUCGGUCCCUAUCUGCCGUGGGCGCUGGAGAACUGAGGGGGGCUGCUCCUAGUACGAGAGGACCGGAGUGGACGCAUCACUGGUGUUCGGGUUGUCAUGCCAAUGGCACUGCCCGGUAGCUAAAUGCGGAAGAGAUAAGUGCUGAAAGCAUCUAAGCACGAAACUUGCCCCGAGAUGAGUUCUCCCUGACUCCUUGAGAGUCCUGAAGGAACGUUGAAGACGACGACGUUGAUAGGCCGGGUGUGUAAGCGCAGCGAUGCGUUGAGCUAACCGGUACUAAUGAACCGUGAGGCUUAACCUU
rnacentral:rRNA from 1 species